CUCCAAAGAGGUCUGUAUCAGCUGGCGAUGCCACUGCCUUUGGCAAAUGGGCUCAGAGAAGAUGUUUGGGCUUUCUUACUCAAGGUGUCUUCUGGGUGUUUCGAACAGAGGCUUCCUUUCAGGGGUCCAGGACUGCACUGGAAGGAAGUGACCACAAGAUGACACCGUUGUUCUUCCAGACACUCCCGCUGUUAUGAGGAAAGGAGUCAUUUGCAGCCUGGAGGAGGACUCUACCAUUCCAAGAUAUUCAGCUGACCACCCAAGCAGUAGCUCCUGAGACCUCCACACUCGACAGAGUCCCGCACACAUUCAAGGCCACCACCUCCUUCAUGCUCCUUUCUGAUCACCUCUCCAAGUCCUGGUGUCAGGAGCCUUCUCUGUGGCCGCCCUGGAGAGACUUGAGCCUGGGACGUGACCUGCUGGGCUGUGAAGGUUUCUGAGAAGGGAAACCUGUGGUCUGACCUGCCUGGAUGCUGCACCCAACCUCAUCUCUUCCUGGGAGGCAGGCUCUCUUCGCUUGUUUCUACAAAUUUGAAACCAACAACUGUCAGCAUUAACACCAUCAGGCAUUUCUCUUCUCAUUUAACCUUGCAGCCAACCACACAGCUAUCUGUGCGUGAUCUCUCCCCAAGCGCAAGGACAUGAGAUACAGAUCAGGCCCAAGAGCCUGGAUGCCAAGCCUAUCCUCUCCAUGUGAAGCACCAACUUGAGGGUGUCAACUUAAAAUAUGAGACCCGUAAACUUGGAAAGGAGGACUUUAUUUCUUGAGAAGCAUUGCAAACUGCAGGCUCUGGAAAGUGACACCUCCAGCAGAGACCACAAACAGUGGACCUUCUCAAACCGGGGUAUUGACCUCUGAUGAACCCCCAUCCAAACCCGUGCCUUCCAUCAUAAAAAGAAGCACUUUGAGGUGCUCAACUUCAAGCUUGCUAGAGAAGGAGGAAAAGCGGGUUGAGUUUGACAUAAUUAGAAUGGGUUGAGCAGAGUAAGUUUCUUUCAUGGUGGACGGCGACCACCCACUGCCAUUUCUACAAGAAGAUUUUGCUUCCUAGGCACUGAGUUCCUGGUUCUUUCACUAGAAAAAAAUGAGUAUGUUGGCAAUCCAGUACUUCCAACUUCUGUGAAGACCUGGGCAGGCGACGGGAGCUUGGGGACGGGGGUGGGGCCCAAAGACAAGGCUGCCAUUUGCUGUGCCCACCACAGAGGGACAUUUACUCUACCUGAAGCACAAGUAUUUUCUCAGUGAUGUUGGCUCCUACAAAGUCGAAAGGGGUAGGCUCCCUGGCUUACGCCCCAGGAGUUUGGACUGAAAGGGAGACUAAAAGGGUCUUCCUCUAAGUUUAUGAUGUUGCCCUCCCCUGGCUACAACAGAUGUGCUCUGGCCAUAAGCAUCCCAGGUUCUCUGAGUGAUGGGGUGGGUAUGGAAAUGUUCCCAAACACAGGUAUGGGGGUGUCCCCUCCCACUGUACCAAUCCAUGCCCAGGGCUGGAAGGUCCCUGGUGCUCUGAACUGGAUUCAUAAGCAGUAGCAUCUCCAACCACAAGUAUGGUGUCAGCCCCUCCAACAGUACCACAUGUGUUCCCAUGCCUGAUAGAAAGUGGGAACAUGUGUUUAUUAGCCAGGUGGGCCCCAAAUGCUCUGAUAAGGUGCAGAAAGGGGACUCUUUGUCACUGUUGUGCUGUGCCCUCCUAUUGCAACACAUGUGCUCUGAACAGGUGGAGCCCAGGUGCUUUGCAUGCAGGCAGACACAAGAGGGCCUCUAAGCACAAGUGUGGUGUUGGAACCCUCAAGGCUACAGAUGCAUUCUGGCCAGGUGUGUCCCGGGUGGUCUGACUAUAAACAGCAAUAGAAUUCUCUCCAGCACAAUUAUAGAGAGGCCCGUCCAACUGAUGUGCUCUAGCAGGAUGAAACCUGGGUGAUCCCAACACAAGGAGGAACAGAAGUUUCUUCUGAGACAUGCUCCUUCUUAGCGAUGCUGUCUCCUUGAAUAGUAACAGGUAUGCUUUGGCUGGGUGGGCCUCAGGCACUCUGACUGUAGCCAGGAAGGAAAGGUCUCCCAGAACAGAUUUCUGCUCUGUAGCGCUGAUCUUCCCUCAUUGCAACAGGGAUGCUAUAGGCUGGCAGGACCUUGUGCUCAGGUCUAAGCCCCUCCUAGAAUAAGCUGUGGUUCUGGGUGUUCUCCUCAGCUCUUCUGUAGAUUUCAGUGCCCCCUGACAAGGAGCCAGGGUUUGGGACAGACACAAUGGCUGCAAAGCUGCCACUACCCAAAGGGGCUUAGAUAUUAAUGGUGCAUGCCACUGCUGCGGUGACCCUUUCUCGGACGGUCAUCCUUUGAUCCCUAUUUUUUUUUAUCAUCCUCCUCCUGUGCUAUCCCUUUUCUGUGAGCUCCUGGAAAAGGAGUAGUCUCUUAAUUUUUUUUUUUUUUAACUUUUUUGAGACGGAGUCUUACUCUUAUCGCCCAGGCUGGAGUGCAGUGGCAUGAUCUCAGCUCACUGCAACCUCCAUCUCCUGGGUUCAAGCGAUUCUCCUGUCUCAGGCCUCCACCUCUCAGGUUCAAGUGAUUUUCCUGCCUCUGCCUCUGCCUCCUGGGUUCAAGCAAACCUCCGUCUCCUGGAUUCAAGUGAUUCUCCUGCCUCAGGCUCCCAAGUAGGUGGGACUACAGGUGUGCGCAAGCACGCCCAGCUAAUUUUUGUAUUUUUAGUAGAGAUGGGGGUUUCACCAUGUUGGCCAGGCUGGUCUCAAACUCCUGACCUCAGGUGAUCUGCCCGCCUCAGCCUCCCAAAGUGCUGGGAUUACAGGCGUGAGCCACCAUGCCCGGCCCGCAGUCUCUUUUAAGCAAGGAUCAGGGGAGCAAUCGGAUGGCCCAGAUAGUGCUCCUGCUAUUGAAGGAGCCCAGAUGUUGCUCAGAUAGCAACAGGAAAAGAAGUCACUUUCCCCCUGCAGGUUGGAUCAGUACUUUUCCUAAGUGGCUGCACUUCUUCGAGGUGCAAGCAUACAGUGCUGUCUUUCUGAAAGCCCCGGCGUGACACCAAGGGGAGGCCCCCUUCUGAUGUAAACACUGAGCUUACUGGGUUGCAUAAGGCCUCUCAUAUAUCAGGGGUGAUAUAAACUGAGGGGGUAAAGGUGGCCGUAUUGCUCCCAGGAACUGUGUUCAGAAGAUGCACAGGUGCAGCAGGAGGAUUCCUGCCAGAAGCAGGAACGGAGAGGACGGGGAGAAAAAGGAGGAUGGUGGCCCGGGGGCCGGGCAGGGUGAGGCUUACUGAGGAAGUUGUCCGUGAAGAGCAGUUUGUGUGCUGUCUGACACUGAGAGUCUAGUAAGAAAUUUGGAGAGAGAGGUCUCCUAGCUGCGUGUUCCUCCAAGGCAAACCAUGCUAGAUGCUUGUGACAUGUCACUGGAACACACACCAGAGAAAGGGUGUGCUAGAGCAGAGAGGAAAGACAAGUCACCGAAGGGCAAAGGGGAGUCCCAGCAGGACUUUUGAGAGCUUGAGACAGCUCAUGCUCUUCGCAGGUGCUUGGCACCAGGCAUGCCCAAUGACAUGGAAAAGCAUUCAGGACUGUGUAUUAUAGGACCCCACAUAGCCGUCACCCCCAGAUCGCCAGGUGCGCAGGCUCCUCAGCACCUAACCUAGGGGCAGCAACUAGGUUAGGGCUAGGUUGUGAGUCUCCUAGCCCUUUUCUCUGGGGUUAUUGGAGGUCAGAGGUCAGAGUGUCCUACAUCCUGCCAGGAUGGGGCCCUGGCUCACAAGAGAUCAGGGUAGGAGAGGUGGGGCUGUGGCCAGCAGGGAUCAACUCUGUCUUAUGCCAUUACUGGUGCACCCAGGUGGCCCAGCAGGGCUGCAGCUGCAAAACACGUGCUCUAAUGCGGAGGAGAGACCAAGCAGUGUGGGGCAUGAUUUGUCCUGACCUCUUCCUUUCAGACAACCUCUGCAGAGGACACCAGUUUGCUCCCACAACAUCCCCUUCCCAUAUUGUAGCUCAGGGCUACCACACACUGUUUCCUCCAGGGAUCCCUCUAGGGCCCCCAAGUCCUGGAGCGGGCAUAUCUUCUCUGUGGCCACCUAGGAAGGUGUGGGUCCAUGGGCAUGAGGUAUGAGUCCAGCUGGGCUGUGAAGGUUUCUGAGAUGGGUACUUGGCACCUCGAUCCUCCCACAUCCUGCACCCCUUACCAUCCCUUCCAGGCAAGCAGGUAUCCUUCCCUCUUUUAACAAAUUUUUCAAAUUGAAAACAGCAUUUAGGACUUAGCACCUUCCUCAGGUCACCCAUGUGGGCAUAAGGGAGAGUCAGGAUUUGAACUCAGACUGUCUGAUUCCAGAGUUUAUCCACUGACCACCUGACAGUGGUGAUGCCUCAUCAUAUGUGUCAUGUAUUUACAUUUUUAAAUAGUCCUUAGGGUACUUAGCACCAUGGUACGCCUGUCAUGAGAGUAUUCACUGCCUGCAUCAGAAGAUGCAGGGUGGAGAGCACCAAUUGUCAGCACAACCAUAUUGGGCAUUUGCUAAAUGAGUCUUGCACAAACCACAUAGCUGUCUGUGAACUGUCUUCUCCCAGGUACAGGACAGGAGACCACUUAGGUGCAAGAUACACCCUGUCUUAAGAGGCUUAUGCUCCAAGGACACCAACAUCUCUUAUGACAAUUCCAUAGACCUACUUUUCAGGAUCCUGGGUGAAAUUGGCAAUUUACUGAUAUCAAAUAGUGCACUGUAUCAGGAUGGUAAACAGUUCCUUAUAUUUAGAACUCUUUUUCUUUUUCUUUUUCUUUUUUUUGACAGAGUUUCACUCUUGUUUCCCAGGCCGGACUGCAAUAGUAUAAUCUCAGCUCCCUAUAGCCUCCACCUCCCAGGUUCAAGUGAUUCCCCUGCCUCAGCCACUGGAGUAGCUGGGACUACAGGCAUGCACCACUAUGCCCAGCUAAUUUUGUAUUUUUAGUAGACAUGGGGUUUCACCAUGUUGGUCAGGCUGGUCUUGAACUCCUGACCUCAGGUGAUCUACCUACCUUGGUUUCCCAAAGGUGUGAGCCACCGUGCCCAGUCUUUAGAAUGCUGUAAUUUUCUCUCAGAGACUAUUUUGUGGUUGGGGUUGACAAAUUACAGUUCAUGAGCUGAAUUUUUUCCAGCCUGUUUCUGUAAUACCAAUAACCUUAGAAUGGUGAUAAGAGUUUCCAAAGUUUAUAGAAAAGAGGAAAGGGAAAAAGAAAGAAAAAAAGAAAGAAAAAAAGAAAGAAAAACAGAGGAAAAUAUGCAACAGGGACCAUAUGCAAUCUGCAGAGCCUGUAAUAUUUACUAUCCUUUGUAUUUCUGUCCUUUGUAUUUCUGGCAAAUACAGAAAAAUUUGCCAACACUUCUUUUGUGAUUUUCAGUGUAUAAGUCUUCUACAGUAUUUACUAAUUUAUCCUUAUGUAUUUUAUAAGUUUUUUGUAUACUAUUGUAAAUGGUAUCUUUUACAUUUUAGUUUUCAGUAUUCACUACUGGAAAAUACAGUUGAUCUUUAUAUAUGCACCUUGUAUGCUGGAACUUUGCUAAAUUCACUCUUUACUUUUAGUAGUUUCUUUGUAAAUUCCUUAGGAUAUUCUAUGUACACAAUCAUGUUUUCUAUGAAUAGAGUUUUGCUUCUUCCUUUU
rnacentral:lncRNA from 1 species